rnacentral:lncRNA from 1 species
AAAGAACAUUAACUGAGUAGAUUUGGUUUUGCUUGUUCCUCUAAAUCUGUUUUUGCUGGGAAACCUCUUAAUGCAUCAUUGGAUCUCACCUCUGAUUCAUCCUUUCCAAACUGACCUCAGAGGAACCAGGGACUGAGACACAGCUCAGGAACUGUAACCCUGUCCUGAAACUAACAAUUAUAAUUUGCUUCCCACAAAACUGGAAAAACAGAACCUCAGCUUUCUUUCAUAUUGCCUUGGCUGCCUUCCCUUCAAUGGGGUACAUCUUCUCCAGGUUUUGUUGUGGGAACUGACAAGGCAAAGCUCGCAGCUGGGAAUAUAUUGGCUUCCAUGUUGAUAUUACAGAACUUAAGAAAAAGGUUAAGGAAUGAAACUAGUAUUUUAAUUCACAGAGAAAGUGUGUUCCAAAGUCCUCUGAAAUCAGUGGACUGAAUCCCACCAACGUCACCAAGUACUGGCUUAAGGCCUUAGUAAAUACAAUAUUUAUAAAGGAAUCAUUGUACGUUGAUGGUGAAAAAUAAAAGAUGUCUCAAUAAUUCAGAAACCACAAUUGAGGAAGGAGUAGAGGCAAAGACUGAGGCAAUGAUUGCUAGAGGUGAAGACUGAAAACACAUGGAUGUUAUACCAAAGUAGGUGUGGAAAGGAAUUUUAAAGAUAUAAAAGUUAGAUUGAAAUUGGUCUGGGAUCACCUUCUGUUCAAGUGUGGUAUUGUACUCUGAUGUGCUUCUUAUUCCUUGAAACACAAUAAUUUCAAGGAAUACACAAUAGUUUCAAAUUUGCCUUUGCAAAUUUCUUUAUCCUUAGCUGAUAUUGACGACAUAUUUUCUUUACUGCAGCUGCACUGUGCACCCUGCUAAAUUAACACUUUGGUUCACAGAAUCUGCUCAAGAAGAAUUCUCCCAGUCUUUUCAGUCCUUCAGUUUGUAGGCAUGAACACAUCCAAACACACUGACACCACAGCCCUUGUGCAGAGAAGCAACAAUGAGGCCACCAUCCCCAAACGUAUCAUAUUCAUCCUUCUUCUGACUGGAUUUUUGAAUGAUUGUUUUGGAGUCUGGCUUUAUCUCCCUGGAGUCUCAUAUCUAGGGAUCAGCAAACUGGCUCAUAUAACUUACAAACUGGCCUGAACCAUAAUUCAGCACUAUGGAAAUGUUUUCAGGAUAAAAAAAAUCAAUGUGCUUUUCACAUUCAUACACCUCUCUACUUCCCCCUCCUAGAAUCAGCUAGAAUGCCAAAUGAUGCCAGGUUACUUGCUGCCUCAGGAGUUUGGAUACAAUUUUGAAAGCCCCAGUGUUAAAAAAAAAUCUGUUUUCUUGAGUCCUUGUUUCUUCAGCAAAUUGGCAAUUGUUGGUGACUGUCAUUCACAGGUUUUUCUCCAUUUUUUUUUUCUCUUUUUCUUUCAUUCAGUUAUGCACUAAUACCUGUGCUUGAAAUCAUAUGGGGGGACAAUUGGAAGAGAACAUCCAUAAAUGAAUAGGAAACCCAAAGAAAUUAAUUAAAAAAGAACUCUAUUUUGUUACGACUCCCAAUUCCACCCCUCCUCACCCACAAAAACCCAGCAAAACAAAUUCCCCUGUAUUCUUGAAGCGUUCACUCUGUCCUUUAUCUGUCAUCUUGAUUAGAUGUGAAGUUUUUCUGUUCUGUCCUCCUGUUGCAAACAUGUAAAAGCAUGCAGUGCACUAUGUUUUUAUUGAGAGACUGCCUACAAGUAAAUCUUGUCCACAGACUUUCUAUAUAUUCCCUCUAUUUUCACCUUCACAUUAGGUAAAUCUAAGUUGAUGCAGUUCCACACCUCUGGGAAGACAAGGAUGCCUCACAGAAUAAAUGUCUGGGGUUUGCCA